AUUGAACGCUGGCGGCAGGCCUAACACAUGCAAGUCGAGCGGUAGAGAGAAGCUUGCUUCUCUUGAGAGCGGCGGACGGGUGAGUAAUGCCUAGGAAUCUGCCUGGUAGUGGGGGAUAACGUUCGGAAACGGACGCCAAUACCGCAUACGUCCUACGGGAGAAAGCAGGGGACCUUCGGGCCUUGCGCUAUCAGAUGAGCCUAGGUCGGAUUAGCUAGUUGGUGAGGUAAUGGCUCACCAAGGCGACGAUCCGUAACUGGUCUGAGAGGAUGAUCAGUCACACUGGAACUGAGACACGGUCCAGACUCCUACGGGAGGCAGCAGUGGGGAAUAUUGGACAAUGGGCGAAAGCCUGAUCCAGCCAUGCCGCGUGUGUGAAGAAGGUCUUCGGAUUGUAAAGCACUUUAAGUUGGGAGGAAGGGCAGUUACCUAAUACGUGAUUGUUUUGACGUUACCGACAGAAUAAGCACCGGCUAACUCUGUGCCAGCAGCCGACGG
rnacentral:rRNA from 1 species